rnacentral:rRNA from 1 species
AGCUAGUUGGUAGGGUAAGAGCCUACCAAGGCGACGAUGGAUAGCCGGCCUGAGAGGGUGAUCGGCCACACUGGGACUGAGACACGGCCCAGACUCCUACGGGAGGCAGCAGCUAAGAAUCUUCCGCAAUGGGCGAAAGCCUGACGGAGCGACGCCGCGUGGACGAAGAAGGCCGAAAGGUUGUAAAGUCCUUUUCUUAGGGAAGAAUAAUGUAAAGAAUGGAAUGCUUUACAGAUGACAUUAACUGAGGAAUAAGCCCCGGCCAAUUACGUGCCAGCAGCCGCGGUAAUACGUAUGGGGCGAGCGUUGUUCGGAAUUAUUGGGCGUAAAGGGCGUGUAGGCGGUUUUAUAAGCCUGGUGUGAAAUCCCACAGCUCAACUGUGGAGACGCGCUGGGAACUGUAAGACUAGAGUUCAGGAGGGGAUGCUGGAAUUCCUGGUGUAGGGGUGAAAUCUGUAGAUAUCAGGAAGAACACCGAUGGCGAAGGCAAGCAUCUGGCCAUGGACUGACGCUGAGGCGCGAAAGCGUGGGGAGCGAACAGGAUUAGAUACCCUGGUAGUCCACGCUGUAAACGAUGUGCACUGGGUGUAGGAGGCGUUGAGCUUUCUGUGCCGUAGCUAACGCGUUAAGUGCACCGCCUGGGGAGUAUGCUCGCAAGGGUGAAACUCAAAGGAAUUGGCGGGGGCCCGCACAAGCGGUGGAGCAUGUGGUUUAAUUCGAUAUACGCGAGGAACCUUACCAGGGCUUGACAUGUACUUGAAGGCUUAAGAGAUUAAGUCGACCUUUAGGGGACGGGUACACAGGUGCUGCAUGGUUGUCGUCAGCUCGUGUCGUGAGAUGUUGGGUUAAGUCCCGCAACGAGCGCAACCCUUACUGUCUGUUGCCAGCAGGCCUUCGGGCGCUGGGGACUCAGGCAGAACUGCCGGUGACAAACCGGAGGAAGGUGGGGAUGACGUCAAAUCAUCAUGGCCCUUAUGUCCUGGGCUACACACGUGCUACAAUGGCCGGUACAAAGCGUUGCAAGACGGUGACGUCCUUAGCAAAUCGCAAAAAGCCGGUCUCAGUUCGGAUUGGAGUCUGAAACCCGACUCCAUGAAGUUGGAAUCGCUAGUAAUCGCGCAUCAGAAUGGCGCGGUGAAUAUGUUCCCGGGCCUUGUACACACCGCCCGUCACACCACCCGAGUUGGGGGUACCCGAAGUCGCUAGUCUAACUUUUAGAGGACGGUGCCGAAGGUAUGCCUGGUAAGGGGGGUGAAGUCGUAACAAGGUAGCCGUACCGGAAGGUGCGGCUG